UGGUUCGUAGCUCAACUGGUCAGAGUACCGGUCUUUUAAACCGGGAGUUGUGAGUUCGAUUCUCACCGGGCCAACCA
rnacentral:tRNA from 1 species